rnacentral:rRNA from 1 species
CUAAAUACUCUCUAGUGACCGAUAGUGAACCAGUACCGUGAGGGAAAGGUGAAAAGCACCCCGGAAGGGGAGUGAAAUAGAACCUGAAACCGUGUGCUUACAAGUAGUCAGAGCCCGUUAAUGGGUGAUGGCGUGCCUUUUGUAGAAUGAACCGGCGAGUUACGAUUUGAUGCAAGGUUAAGCAGUAAAUGUGGAGCCGUAGCGAAAGCGAGUCUGAAUAGGGCGUUUAGUAUUUGGUCGUAGACCCGAAACCAGGUGAUCUACCCUUGGUCAGGUUGAAGUUCAGGUAACACUGAAUGGAGGACCGAACCGACUUACGUUGAAAAGUGAGCGGAUGAACUGAGGGUAGCGGAGAAAUUCCAAUCGAACCUGGAGAUAGCUGGUUCUCUCCGAAAUAGCUUUAGGGCUAGCCUCAAGUGAUGAUUAUUGGAGGUAGAGCACUGUUUGGACGAGGGGCCCCUCUCGGGUUACCGAAUUCAGACAAACUCCGAAUGCCAAUUAAUUUAACUUGGGAGUCAGAACAUGGGUGAUAAGGUCCGUGUUCGAAAGGGAAACAGCCCAGACCACCAGCUAAGGUCCCAAAAUAUAUGUUAAGUGGAAAAGGAUGUGGCGUUGCCCAGACAACUAGGAUGUUGGCUUAGAAGCAGCCAUCAUUUAAAGAGUGCGUAAUAGCUCACUAGUCGAGUGACACUGCGCCGAAAAUGUACCGGGGCUAAACAUAUUACCGAAGCUGUGGAUUGUCCUUUGGACAAUGGUAGGAGAGCGUUCUAAGGGCGUUGAAGCAUGAUCGUAAGGACAUGUGGAGCGCUUAGAAGUGAGAAUGCCGGUGUGAGUAGCGAAAGACGGGUGAGAAUCCCGUCCACCGAUUGACUAAGGUUUCCAGAGGAAGGCUCGUCCGCUCUGGGUUAGUCGGGUCCUAAGCUGAGGCCGACAGGCGUAGGCGAUGGAUAACAGGUUGAUAUUCCUGUACCACCUAUAAUCGUUUUAAUCGAUGGGGGGACGCAGUAGGAUAGGCGAAGCGUGCGAUUGGAUUGCACGUCUAAGCAGUAAGGCUGAGUAUUAGGCAAAUCCGGUACUCGUUAAGGCUGAGC